rnacentral:rRNA from 1 species
AAUUGACGGGGGCCCGCACAAGCGGUGGAGCAUGUGGUUUAAUUCGAAGCAACGCGAAGAACCUUACCAGGUCUUGACAUCCUUUGACCACUCUGGAGACAGAGCUUUCCCUUCGGGGACAAAGUGACAGGUGGUGCAUGGUUGUCGUCAGCUCGUGUCGUGAGAUGUUGGGUUAAGUCCCGCAACGAGCGCAACCCUUGAUUUUAGUUGCCAGCAUUUAGUUGGGCACUCUAAAGUGACUGCCGGUGCAAGCCGGAGGAAGGUGGGGAUGACGUCAAAUCAUCAUGCCCCUUAUGACCUGGGCUACACACGUGCUACAAUGGAUGGUACAAAGGGUCGCGAAGCCGCGAGGUGGAGCCAAUCCCAUAAAACCAUUCUCAGUUCGGAUUGUAGGCUGCAACUCGCCUACAUGAAGCCGGAAUCGCUAGUAAUCGUGGAUCAGCAUGCCACGGUGAAUACGUUCCCGGGCCUUGUACACACCGCCCGUCACACCACGAGAGUUUGUAACACCCGAAGUCGGUAGGGUAACCUUUAUGGAGCCAGCCGCCGAAGGUGGGACAGAUAAUUGGGGUGAAGUCGUAACAAGGUAGCCGUAUCGGAAGGUGCGGCUGGAUCACCUCCUUUCUAAGGAA